rfam:Schistosoma rodhaini strain Burundi genome assembly, scaffold: SROB_scaffold0000326
AUACAGCUGAGCAGUCCCAAAAAGGACGAAAUGAGCAUCCUGGAU